AGAGUUUGAUCAUGGCUCAGAACGAACGCUGGCGGCGUGGAUAAGACAUGCAAGUCGAACGGGUUUAGUUUCGGAGCAAUUCGCAAUUAGGCCAGUGGCGAACGGGUGCGUAACACGUGAGUCAUCUGCCUGAAAGUGGGGGAUAGCUCGUCGAAAGGCGAAUUAAUACCGCAUAUGCCCCGAAGCAAUUCGGGGUAAAGCCGGGGCAACCUGGCGCUUUUAGAGGAACUCGCGGCCUAUCAGCUUGUUGGUGAGGUAACGGCUUACCAAGGCUUCGACGGGUAGCUGGUCUGAGAGGACGACCAGCCACACUGGAACUGAGACACGGUCCAGACACCUACGGGUGGCAGCAGUCGAGAAUUUUUCUCAAUGGGGGAAACCCUGAAGGAGCGACGCCGCGUGGAGGAUGAAUGCUUUCGGGUUGUAAACUCCUGUCAUUUGGGAACGAGGCCUUACGUUAACUGCGUGGAGGUUUGAUAGUACCGAAAGAGGAAGAGACGGCUAACUCUGUGCCAGCAGCCGCGGUAAUACAGAGGUCUCAAGCGUUGUUCGGAUUCAUUGGGCGUAAAGGGCGCGUAGGCUGCGGGGUAAGUCGGGUGUGAAAUCUCAGAGCUCAACUCUGAAACUGCACUCGAUACUGCUUUGCUUGAGGACUGGAGAGGAGACUGGAAUUCACGGUGUAGCAGUGAAAUGCGUAGAUAUCGUGAGGAAGACCAGUGGCGAAGGCGGGUCUCUGGACAGUUCCUGACGCUGAGGCGCGAAGGCCAGGGGAGCAAACGGGAUUAGAUACCCUAGUAGUCC
rnacentral:rRNA from 1 species